AUUGAACGCUGGCGGCAGGCCUAACACAUGCAAGUCGAACGAGUGGCGGACGGGUGAGUCAUGUCUGGGACACUGCCCGAUGGAGGGGGAUAACUACUGGAAAGGGUAGCUAAUACCGCAUACCAUCAGAUGUGCCUAGAUGGGAUUGGCUAGUUGGUGGGGUAACGGCUCACCAGGGCGACGAUCCCUAGCUGGCCUGAGAGGAUGACCAGCAACACUGGAACUGAGACACGGUCUAGACUCAUACGGGAGGCAGAAGUGGGGAAUAUUGCACAAUGGGCGCAAGCCUGAUGCAGAAAGGCCGCGUAUAUGAAGAAGGCCUUCGGGUUGUAAAGUACUUUCAGCGGGGAGGCGUUACCCGCAGAAGAAGCACCGGCUAACUACGUGCCAGCAGCCGCGGUAAUAC
rnacentral:rRNA from 1 species